UACGUAGGGGGCAAGCGUUGUCCGGAUUUAUUGGGCGUAAAGAGCGUGUAGGCGGCUUUACAGGUCCGCUGUGAAAACUCGAGGCUCAACCUCGAGACGUCGGUUGAAACCGUAUGGCUAGAGUCCGGAAGAGGAGAGUGGAAUUCCCGGUGUAGCGGUGAAAUGCGCAGAUAUCGGGAAGAACACCCGUGGCGAAGGCGGCUCUCUGGGACGGUACUGACGCUGAGACGCGAAAGCGUGGGGAGCGAACAGG
rnacentral:rRNA from 1 species